AGGUCCAUAGAUUCAGUGUGUGCCAGAAAUACAAUGUGGAGGUCCAUGGAUGGAGGAACAAUUCAUUGUGUGCCAGAAAUACAACGUGGAGGUCCAUGGAUGGAGGUACAAUUCAGUGUGUGCCAGAAAUACAACAUGGAGGUUCAUGGAUGGAGGUACAAUUCAGUGUGUGCCAGAAAUACGUGGAGGUCCAUGGAUGGAGGUACAAUUCAGUGUGUGCAGAAAUACAACAUGGAGGUUCAUGGAUGGAGGUACAAUUCAGUGUGUGCAGAAAUACAACGUGGAGGUUCAUGGAUAGAGGUACAAUUCAGUGUGUGCCAGAAAUACACCGGGAGGUCCAUAGAUGGAGGUACAAUGACAAGUCAUGACACAGCGGAAGGUUAAUAUUUAUUUCAAAUCAGACUGAGGAAGAAGACUUCCUGAAUACAUGCCCAUAACAGGGAAGGAAGUCAUCCCUUCAUUAAUAGAUAGACAAGGUACAACAGUUAUACUCUGCUGGAAUAAAAGAUAGAACAUAUUUCUCCUAUUCAUAUCACAACAACAACUGUCUUUUUUAAUAGUAUUAAAGGUAGAUUGUUUUGUUCCACUAAAACAUGACCUGCUCCAAAUAGUAUUGUAUGUUCUUUCAUUUUGAAAGUCAUGAUCUACUUGAUAUGAGUAUAUCCUAGGUAAUUAUAAUUAUUGUUACAUCUGAUAGAAAGCUAUGGUCUUUUAAAGCCAUAUGAGCUGAAAUUUUCAUGUUGGAAUAUUUUAUACUAAAAUUCUAAUAAAUACGUAACUUCUGUUCAUAUUUUGGAGAAAGUGCUAUUUAGAAGCUAUGAUUGGAGCAAAUUUACUAAUUGUUGUCAUUUACAUAAAAUAGUUUGCUAUAUUUUUCAUUGUACAGGAAUCUUUUUAAUUAUAAAAUUUAACAAUUUGAUUUCAUCUAUUUUAUCCUAUUUAGGAAGAUUUAGUUUAUACACAGAAUUAUCAUAUUAGCAUGUUUAAGCAGCAAAAAAAUGAAGUUCUAAAAAAUACAGCUAAUUUUGCUCAACAAGAAUCAUCAAAACAUAGGUCUCUGAAUCUACAUAGGUACUGUGGAAUCAUCAUUGUUUGUGGAGGACCACUGAAUCUACAUAGGUACUGUGGAAUCAUCAUUGUUUGUGGAGGACCACUGAAUCUACAUAGGUACUGUGGAAUCAUCAUUGUUUGUGGAGGACCACUGAAUCUACAUAGGUACUGUGGAAUCAUCAUUGUUUGUGGAGGACCACUGAAUCUACAUAGGUACUGUGGAAUCAUCAUUGUUUGUGGAGGACCACUGAAUCUACAUAAGUACUGUGGAAUCAUCAUUGUUUGUGGAGGACCACUGAAUCUACAUAGGUACUGUGGAAUCAUCAUUGUUUGUGGAGGACCACUGAAUCUACAUAAGUACUGUAGAAUCAUCAUUGUUACAAAAGUCUCUGAAUCUACAUAGGUACUGUGGAAUCAUCAUUGUUUGUGGAGGACCAAUGUUCGUGGCCUUCAUGGGUAACCCUGGCCCACGAAUUUACAUCCCCCACAAACCUAUAAACAAACAUUUGUUUAACAGUUUUGAAAAUUACCCUGAUAAUUCUAUCAAUGAAAUUACGUCCCCACAAACCAGGAACAUUUCGGUUACCCCCAUGAAUAACAAGAGGUCCAUGGGCUACAUGUCUCACCCGAGCAACAAUAGGUAUGAUAAUAGCAGUUUAAUGGAGUCAUAAUAUGGUAUAAUACAUGUAGAUCCUGUAUAAAUAAAAAUCCAUUUCCCCCCUUGGAUAUUCCUAUGUUUAUAAUCAUGUCCCUUUUCUAAUAGUCAUAUCACAUGUUGAGCAUUGCAGUUCUAAAGAAAGAUCCUAAAGAAUUGUUUAUAUAUGGGAUAUAAAUCUACAUCAAACUCUUAACCCCUUGUGUGGCCCAAGAAUCGUCAAGACGCCAAAGUCAAAACAGUUUUUAAAAAUCAGCAAUAUGUCAAAAUGCCUGUAUUAGUUAAAACCAUAUGUGAUAACAUUUCAGUUUUUGUCAAUAAUUGUAAAGCUUUCCUUUGUAAAAUUGGAUCCGCAAUGUAGAUCCACCCUACUCCUCAAGAUUUUGAUUUUAAGGAAUUUGAAUCUACACUAUCUGAGGUUGCUUUCAAUAAAGUUACAGCUUUUCUAUAUUUAUUCCUAUGUAAAAAUUUGACCCUCAUUCGGGGGUAUUGAUUUUCUCAACUUUGAAUCUACACUACCUAAGGAUGCUUCCACAUAAGUUUCAGCUUUCCUAGCUGAUUUGUUUCUGAGAAGAAGAUAUUUAAAGAUUUACUCUAUAUAUUCCUAU